rnacentral:rRNA from 1 species
CUAGCACAGGUGCUGCAUGGUUGUCGUCAGCUCGUGCCGUGAGGUGUUAGGUUAAGUCCUGCAACGAGCGCAACCCUCGUCGCUAGUUAAUUUCUCUAGCGAGACUGCCCGUAUAACGAGGAGGAAGGUGGGGAUGACGUCAAAUCAGCAUGGCCCUUACGCCUUGGGCUACACACACGCUACAAUGGAUGAUACAACGGGUUGCUAAGGGGCGAUCCGGAGCUAAUCCCAAAAAUCAUCCUCAGUUCAGAUUGUAAGCUGAAACUGCUUACAUGAAGGCGGAGUUGCUAGUAACCGCAGGUCAGCACACUGCGGUGAAUACGUUCUCGGGCCUU